CACACCCAAACUCUCUCACUCUCUCAUUUUUGGAUAGACGUUUAUGUUAAUUUCAUUUUUCUCUGAUUCGUCAACCCAUAUAUAUAAACCACCCUCUAACGAAUGGAGAUUUUCAUCUUUCCAAGGAAGAAGACUGUGAGAAAAAAAUUCUGGUCAAGGUGGGCUACUGUUAUUUUUAAUGAUGAUAUUACACUUGUGUUGUGGAUUGGGGUUUUAUAAAGCUUGAUUUCGCAAUUGGUGCAUGCUUGAGGAAAAUCUAGGGUUAAGUUUGUUCUAUUUGUUUAGACUGAUGUCGAUUUGUUAAUUAUAUGUGCUCAGGGUUUGAAUUCUAGGUUUAGGUUUUGUUUUGGCUUUUCGUUUUGAUUGUUUUUUCUUGCAGUUCAUGGUUCCUUGAUGGAUUGUCACGAUUGUGUUAGAAUUACGGUGUUAUGUCGAAAUGCUAGGGUUUUAAUGGGAUAUGAUUGGUUGAUUUCUUAACAUCUUUUAUGUGUUUCUUGAUAAUUAGUGUUCGGAUGCGUUUAUUGAUUCAGUUAUAAUAUGAGGUGGCAAGUAGGUUGAAAUAUAACUUAAUUUAGGAAUUUCAAACGAGCUGUGUAAGAUCCUUUUCUUUGUGAAAGUUUGAGAAUGUGAUUCUAAUGUAAUUCUGUAAUUAGGGUAGUGUGCAAUGCUCAUACAAAAGCAAACUGCUCAUAAGUCCAUUGGAGGAAAGGCUCCCAAGAAGCAAUUUGCUACUAUGGUUCUCCAUUGUUAUUGAUUUUUUUUUGCUUAUGAAUUCAUCCAUGUAAUAUAUUUUUGUAAUCAAGAUAAUUAAAAACACCUAUGGUCUUUUUCCCCACAGCCCGUAGAGGAGAAAAACUAAGCUAUUUUUUGUAAUGUUCCCAUCACAAGAUUGAUUGGUUUAGCUGACAGGAGGGGUGUGUUACUACCGAAAAGCAUUUUUGGUUUUACUUUUUUCUGUGUAUUGCAUAUUUUUUCUAUGUAUUGCAUAUGGUUAGUUAAAAUCAUUUCGAGUCUUUGAAAGUUAUGUUCUUUUUAUAGCCAACAAGAUAUAAAGAAAUGAACGUGUGUUAAGUGUGCUAAUUUCCUGAUGGCAAGUACAGGGACAGAACAAAAGUGGCUUUCAGGCACAUGAUUUCCCAUCCUAACCUUGAAUGCAAGUGCUUUUAUCAUAUUGUAUUCUUUCAGCUUGAGCUUUGCUUUAGACUUUGAUUUUGAUUGGGGACGAGAAUGUUACAAUAGUCAUAUGUUAGAAUGUAUUUGAAUAAGAAUUGUUUUUUCC
rnacentral:lncRNA from 1 species